rnacentral:lncRNA from 1 species
AAGAUAGACACUUGUGGGGGUGUGGAGUAGAUGGACUGAGUGCAGCAUGCUGGGAGAAGAGGGGUAGGGGUCAUUAUGGCAGGGCCUUUGACCAGCUCCUAAGCCCCACACUGGCCCUGCUGAGGACCACACUCCUUGCUUUAUCACAGGUGCCCAAACCAGCCCUUGGUGCUGCGUGUAGACUUGCGCCCAAGAUGCUCUCCCAUGCUCCCAGGGUAGUCAGAAUCAGAGACCUCUCUUUUCAAAUCAGAAGGAACUGAUUUUGCACGCAGCACCUCACUGAGAUAACGUUUCAAUGAUGCAACGGAGACUCGGAGACAUCCAAUGGCUUGCCUGAAACCACACAGCAAUGUUUGCAGAGACAUCAGCGUUUAUCCAGUCCCGAGUUAUGUGCCUUGGGUCCCAAGGGAGCUCACAUUAUGGUAGGAAAGCAAGCGGCACAAAUGUGGAAGACCCCUGCUUGGAUCCUGACUUGGCGCCCUUUGUGUUCUUUCAGAAGGACAGGGGUGUUCCUGGGCCCAGAGCGCCUCUGCAGCGGAUACAGGCAUCUUGCUCUGCUGGCGUG